ensembl:lncRNA
ACCGGAUCCAUAGAAAAUGCUUACCACAUGCUAAGUAUCAGCAUUACUAUCUUUUUAGGUCUUGCAUUUUAAAAAUGGCAAGCCUGUCCCCUUUGUGCUUGAUAAGAACCCCUGAUGCUCAUGUGUUUGAAUUCAUUCCUGGUCUCCUCUCUCUUCGCCCUGCCUCAGAUCUGACAGUGGAUGCUCCUUGUCCAGGACCAACCUUGUCUCUCUCUACACCUCUGAUAUGCCAGGAGACAAACUGCAUCAUCUGCCUCCAGCUCUUGGACUCCACGCUGGUCCUGGAAGGUGCCAACCAUCCUUCAACACAUUGUCAUGAAUCCUGCACUGAUGUUAACAGUCCUCUAACAUCCUGAAAAUGUCUGCAUCCAUUCACGUCUUCUCCAGUUGCUCCAGAGUGAUGCGAGCAGUGAUUUAUUCAAAAGGAGCCUUCAGUAAGAAAAAAGUUAUAGCCUGCAUGAUUUUCUCUGUGGCUGCCCUAAAUUUUUGAUAGGCAGGCUUUCUCCAUCUCAGUUACCAUUGCAUUUUGAUUUAAACAUUUCUUCUGGAGAUAACUUAAAGGGACUUAUCCAAAUUUCUUAGGUUUCUGGGUAGUUUUCACAGGAAUUAAUGUGUGAAUCAAAGUCCUCCUGGAUGAUCCAGCCUCUCAGAGGCUACAUCACAUGAUACUUAAGAUGUGGACCCUGGAGGCUGGUUGUCUUGGUUUGAGUAUAUGCUCUAUUGUUUUUCUGCUGUAUGGUCUAGGGUGAGGCACUUAAGCGUUUCAGUCUUGUUUUACUUUCUAAGGAUGGAAUAACAACUGCAUUCACUUUGUGAUGUUGAAAGAAUUAAAUAAAUAAAUGCAUAAAAAUUUGAGACUCUAAGUA